AGGCACUCGAUCUAACGCGAGAGUGUUUAAUUUGAUUAAAUAUGACUCCUAAGUUUAUAUUAACUGAAGAAAUCAGAAUUUAACUUGCAUAUAUUCAAUGAUACAGCGUGAUUGUGUGGAUUGAGCACUUUUUGAGCUUUCAUUUUGACCUGUGUGAUUAUGUAAAACCACAUGGUGCGUUGUGUUCACUGCUGUUCGCUGACGCCAUUUUGGUUGCACGUGCCUGUGAAAGACAAAAAGAGAGAGAAACACGUGAAUGGACAGCUGGAUUUUCCUAAUUGAUGGGGAGCCUCCCAUUUCGACCUGAUUGGAUCACGAAUCUAGAGGAAAGGACAAUUUUCUAUUUUAAAUAUUUUUCUUCAGACAAGUAAGAGGAUACAUUUCAGAAACUGUUUCCUUAUUUUGUUUGUUUACUUUAUUGAACUGAAACAUUUCAGAAGCACAAUUCUGAUAAUUUAAGACUGAUCAAUACUCCAAUUGAUAAGAACUUUGAACUUGAAUACUGAUUUCAGUGUGUUACAUAUAUAAUUUGUACCAUCUUUGUACAUUGAUUGUGACUGUGAUUUCUGUAAAUGAGAAGUAAUUUAGAGGGUGCACCCAUAGUAUAUAUAGUUAAUUGUAUUUGCAUUGUUGUUUACUAUUUUUGUGAUUAAGGAAAGAAAAAGAAAGGUUUCUCAAUACUCAAAGUAAAAUAAUUUAUUAAUCAACUUACCUUCUGUCUUUGCUUGUUGCUCACUAUCACUGCUACCUCCUCCUUCGUACGAUGCACCCUUCUGAUCUUAUUAUUAUGCCUGGUCCAUAAGUAAGUGAGUUAAUACCCGCUACAUAAAGAAAGUACACUUUCAUGGCAAUAUUUCUAAACACAUUUAAUAAAAGAUCAUUAGACUGAUGUGACCUACCAAAGACUUGUUAAUUUAAAGUUCAUGCAGUUCUUUUUUAGUUGUCUGUUAAAAUGUUAAAAAAUAAUAACUUUGAGUUUAUUUUUUUCUAAGGGAUGUAAUUAUUCAAUAUU